rnacentral:lncRNA from 1 species
GAACAAUUUCUUGUGCAAUUUGUGAUAGGAUUCCAUACACCUUUGAGUUGCUGUUUUCUUUUAGGCUUUUGAGUCUUUAUUGCUUUCUUAUUUGGUUCAUAUUAUGCUUUUGAGUCUUUAAUUUCUGAAUCCAUAUAUGUUUUGUCAAGUCAUGUUCAUCCACAAUGUCAACAAUUCUUAGUAGUCCUUUAUUUGGCUUGAUUGUUUCUUGAUUUUGGGUAUCUUUAUUUGCUUUGAAUCUGCUGUUCUUUGAUCUUUUGGUGCCU